AAGUAGAAGCCACCGAGGGUCAAACAAACUUGGAAGGUUUAAUUCAACUACAUGUUGAAUUAAACCUUCCAAGUUUGUUUGACCGUCGGUGGCUU
rnacentral:pre_miRNA from 1 species